rnacentral:rRNA from 1 species
CAGUAGCCACGGUAAUACGUAGGUGGCAAGCGUUGUCCGGAAUUAUUGGGCGUAAAGGGCUCGCAGGCGGUUUCUUAAGUCUGAUGUGAAAGCCCCUGGCUCAACCGGGGAGGGUCAUUGGAAACUGGGAAACUUGAGUGCAGAAGAGGAGAGUGGAAUUCCACGUGUAGCGGUGAAAUGCGUAGAGAUGUGGAGGAACACCAGUGGCGAAGGCGACUCUCUGGUCUGUAACUGACGCUGAGGAGCGAAAGCGUGGGGAGCGAACAGGAUUAGAUACCCGCGUAGUCCCUGUCUCUUAUAA